GGGGGUAUAGCUCAGCUGGGAGAGCAGCAGACUGAAGUAAAGCUGUAGCAGGCAUGACAUUUGUUCGGUUCUGAAGGUCCCGCGUUCGAUCCGCGGUACCCCCA